AGCGAACAGACGAGGAGCUUGCUCCUCUGACGUUAGCGGCGGACGGGUGAGUAACACGUGGAUAACCUACCUAUAAGACUGGGAUAACUUCGGGAAACCGGAGCUAAUACCGGAUAAUAUAUUGAACCGCAUGGUUCAAUAGUGAAAGACGGUUUUGCUGUCACUUAUAGAUGGAUCCGCGCCGCAUUAGCUAGUUGGUAAGGUAACGGCUUACCAAGGCAACGAUGCGUAGCCGACCUGAGAGGGUGAUCGGCCACACUGGAACUGAGACACGGUCCAGACUCCUACGGGAGGCAGCAGUAGGGAAUCUUCCGCAAUGGGCGAAAGCCUGACGGAGCAACGCCGCGUGAGUGAUGAAGGUCUUCGGAUCGUAAAACUCUGUUAUUAGGGAAGAACAAAUGUGUAAGUAACUAUGCACGUCUUGACGGUACCUAAUCAGAAAGCCACGGCUAACUACGUGCCAGCAGCCGCGGUAAUACGUAGGUGGCAAGCGUUAUCCGGAAUUAUUGGGCGUAAAGCGCGCGUAGGCGGUUUUCUAAGUCUGAUGUGAAAGCCCACGGCUCAACCGUGGAGGGUCAUUGGAAACUGAAAAACUUGAGUGCAGAAGAGGAAAGUGGAAUUCCAUGUGUAGCGGUGAAAUGCGCAGAGAUAUGGAGGAACACCAGUGGCGAAGGCGACUUUCUGGUCUGUAACUGACGCUGAU
rnacentral:rRNA from 1 species